rnacentral:rRNA from 1 species
ACUAGAGUAGCACUCGCAUAUCAAUAAGCGGAGGAAAAGAAACUAACAAGGAUUCCCCUAGUAACGGCGAGUGAAGCGGGAAGAGCUCAAAUUUGAAAUCUUAAAGGGUUUCCCUUUACGAAUUGUAGUUUAAAGAAGUGUUUUCUGUUGAGGUUUCGGUAAAAGUUCUUUGGAAUAGGACAUCAUAGAGGGUGAGAAUCCCGUAUUUGACCUUUACUUUCAACUUUGUGAUACACUUUCAAAGAGUCGGAUUGUUUGGGAAUGCAGUCCAAAAUGGGUGGUAAAUUUCAUCUAAAGCUAAAUAUUGGCGAGAGACCGAUAGCGAACAAGUACCGUGAGGGAAAGAUGAAAAGAACUUUGAAAAGAGAGUUAAACAGUACGUGAAAUUGUCAAAAGGGAAGCGUUUGACACCAGUGUUGUUUUUCUGAAAAUCAAUUAAAGAACUGUUUAUGCUAAGCUGUUUAGACUUUAUCAGCUAUCUGUUUAGUUUUGAGCUUUUCUUUAAUGCACUUUUCAGUUAACAAGUCAACAUCAAUUUCUUUUGCUGUAAAAAAGCUUGAGGAAGGUGGCUUGAGAUUCGUCUUAAGUGUUUAUAGCCUCUUGCCUAUGCAGUCGGAGAGAUUGAGGUCUGCAGCGUAGAUCCUUCGGGGCUAAAUGCAUUUGUGCUAAGUUAUAGCAUUUUAUAGACAACUUGUUGACUAUGAUUUGUCUUGUAGCUUACUCGCUUAUGUUAUUUUACCUACGCUUAGGAUGUUGAGUCAUCACACAUCUCU